CAGCAGCCACGGGAAAACGUAGGGCGCAAGCGUUAUCCGGAAUUAUUGGGCGUAAAGAGCUCGUAGGCGGUUUGUCGCGUCUGCCGUGAAAGUCCGGGGCUCAACCCCGGAUCUGCGGUGGGUACGGGCAGACUAGAGUGAUGUAGGGGAGACUGGAAUUCCUGGUGUAGCGGUGAAAUGCGCAGAUAUCAGGAGGAACACCGAUGGCGAAGGCAGGUCUCUGGGCAUUAACUGACGCUGAGGAGCGAAAGCAUGGGGAGCGAACAGGAUUAGAUACCCCCAGUAGUCCCUGUCUCUUAUA
rnacentral:rRNA from 1 species